UACAGAGGUCUCAAGCGUUGUUCGGAUUCAUUGGGCGUAAAGGGUGCGUAGGUGGCGCCGUAAGUCGGGUGUGAAAUUUCGGAGCUUAACUCCGAAACUGCAUUCGAUACUGCGGUGCUUGAGGACUGGAGAGGAGACUGGAAUUCAUGGUGUAGCAGUGAAAUGCGUAGAGAUCAUGAGGAAGACCAGUGGCGAAGGCGGGGUCUCUGGACAGUUCCUGACACUGAGGCACGAAGGCCAGGGGAGCAAACAGG
rnacentral:rRNA from 1 species